UUGUCUGGAUAAUUUUUUAUUAAUAAAGGAUAAGCGGGAAUAGCUAUUGACUGAAUGGAGGAGCAGAUGGAUUAAACUACCUGAAAAUGGCCAAUGUUGUUUAGGAUUUUUAAAAUAAGACUUCGCAGACAUUUCAGAAUAAAAAGGUUUAAAUCACUUUUCCUGUUGUUUUGAUAAUAAUUUUACUGUAUGAGAUGUACUUGAAUGCACUGUAAAAAGGAUUUGGAAAUCGGUCCUGGUUAGAGGGACUCCUCUCCACAGCCCCACUGUGUUGACACAUCUCAUUUGAUGGGGAGCGCUUUGGACUGAUUGAAUGCUGCAGGCAGCUGGAUUUGGAUUUUAGCCGAUUGUUCUCCAGUACCAGAGAUGUUUACAUUCACCUUGACGUUGUUUCAGUGCCGUCCACUGAUGGGAUGCCGCCCUGGGUGGAAAGCCACGUCACCCAUAUCACAAACCUCCCCUGCCCAGAGCCAAUCUCCCAGAUGUCAGGGGUCAGAUACAGAAGCUGUAGGCCGACUUGUUGCAGGCAGUUGCUGCAGACUAGACCUGCACAAACUCUGCAGGAACAGAUAAAUUUGUUCUACUUCAAUUUUCCAACAAGUUGCAAGACAAAGAACAAAAGUCUUUCAGGCAAGGACAUUUCAUACUUCACAAGAACUCAAGUGCAGCGCUUGUAGGAGAUCCUCUUAGCUCUCUCCCACUGCAGCAUUUGUCAGUGUGGUAACCAGGCCCACUUCAAACUUCUAACCACUCACACUACAAAACAAAAACGUUCUGCUCAGAAAAUGUGUCACGGACUAGUUGCAAGAGCUCCCAAAACAAGCUGCCAGAAAAGAAUGAUGUCAUUUUGUUCCUGCAGGCUGGGAGAGAGAAGUACUUUCUCUGAUGAUGUACAGGCCUCAACAGGACCUGAUAGUCUGGUUCUGCUGCAGGUUUCCCUCUGUUUAGUACUGUGACUCCUUUCCACUGUCGCCAAGUGCUUGUCCAGGAUGAGGGACUGCAGCAAAGUCAAUAACGACAUCAAGAUCGGCUGGUCUUCCUGAGACUGAUAACUUUUUAACACUUGGUAUUGUUCAGUCCAUUGAAAUUCACUACUCAUCAGAAUUUGGACUAAAUUGAGCUGUGUGUAAUCUGAUCUUAAUCUUACUACAUCACUGGAUUGUAAUGGAAUAAAUUUUGUUCAUCUGAUCAAUUUGAUUAAAUAAAUUACAUUUGGAUUCACUAAAAAACAUUUCAAUAUGUUUGUGAAUUGGCUCUGCAUAAAUAAACGGAACUGAAGGUUCAGGAGAACCUUUUCCAAUUAGUGCUACAUUCCUACAGGAGAUCUCGGCUGUUUUUAAGAAGAAAAACCUCUAAACAAAAACCUUAGUUGUUACCAGCCUGCUCCAGUCUCAGCCCUGGACAGAUGGCUGAGAGAUCAAGGUAGCUGCUUUUCUACCGAUGGGAUGAAAAAUACUCUAGAAAGUGUAUUCCUUUGAUAUAUAAUUAGGCCUGGCUUUGUUGGAGUUCUAAAUAAGAGGGAUUCUAUGAAAAAGCCAAAACAAUUCUUAAAAAAAUGUUUUCCUUCAGCUAGUCCAAACGCUGGUUUCCAAUAAGUGAGCUCAGAGAAGCUUUGAUGUUCUUUGCAGAGCUGGUGGAGCUCAAACAGAAGCAAACAGAGAGAUAACUUUCCAGGGGUUCAGGUGCUCUGUGUCUGUG